rnacentral:rRNA from 1 species
AUGGAGAAGAUAGUUGACAUAUAUUGUGAUGUGAGUGAGCAUCAGCAAAGUGAGGAGCAUGAGCACCGCAUCCAUGGUCUGGAGCUGGAGGCCUACGUGAGCGUCAUCAAGGCGUUCCACGCCAAGGGGCCGCUGACCUGGGCCAGGCAGGAGCUGCUGUCCGACCUCCGCCUGCACCUCCACGUCUCCGGCGACGACCACCUGCAGCUGCAGUCAAAGCUUGAUGUUGAUUUUGGGUCUCGGUCAAAUUUUGAUUCUGAACUUGGGUCUCACUCAUCAGUUCCAACUUCCAAACUUAUUGGCUGA